UACGAAGGUGGCAAGCGUUACUCGGAAUUACUAGGCGUAAAGGGCAGGUAGGUGGUUUGGUAAGUCUGUUGUGAAAGCUCCCGGCUUAACCGGGAGAGGUCAACAGAAACUGCCAGACUUGAGUAUAGGAGAGGGUACUGGAAUUCCCGGUGUAGCGGUGAAAUGCGCAGAUAUCGGGAGGAACACCAAUGGCGAAAGCAGGUACCUGGACUAUUACUGACACUCAGCUGCGAAAGCUAGGGGAGCAAACAGG
rnacentral:rRNA from 1 species